GCUGGGCACGGUGGCCCAUGCCUGUGAUCCCAGCAACUUGGGAGGCUGAGGCUGGAGGAUCCAGAGCUUGAGGCCGGCCUGUGCAAUUUAGUGAGACCUUGUCUUGU
rnacentral:sRNA from 1 species